rnacentral:lncRNA from 1 species
UGACGGGGAGAGUUUAUAGGCCUGGGUAAGCUGGGUAAGGCGGGGCCUAGUGGACGGUGAGGAAGGCUGUGGGCCUGGCCUCAUAGGAUUAGGUCACUUCCUUCAGAGGAACUGAAGAGAACAGAAGCCCAGAGCCAGCGUUGCUGGGAAGUGGUGAGAGUUCCCACGUGAUCUAUUCUCUUUUCCCAAUGAUCACUGAACACCGUGAGAAGAGUGGCUGCCAGUGCGCAUGGAACGCUAUUCUGCCGCAGGUGGGGCGGUGGCGGUGGCGCUGGCGGCGGCGGCAGCUGGGGCAGUCGGGCGACAGGACCUGGACAUCCCCGGUCCACAGUUCGCAAGAGGAUCCGGAGGGUAAGCGCCAGCGGCCACCGGCAGGGAGACUGGCAGCGACCUUACGGGACGCCCGCGCGCCGGCCCAGAGCCCGCCUGUCGGGGCGCAGCCCCGCCCCCGGGGCGCGUCC